UUAGUCAUUUGUGCAUCUUCGAGACCUUCCUAGUAUAUUUUGUCAUACGUGUUGAUUUAGUGUACCAUUAUGUAUAAAGAAAAAAUGUACAUGGAAGUGAUUGCAUGGUUGUACAUGUUUAUGGCUUCCUUGUUCAUAUUUGUAGCUUCCUUUUUCAUAAUUAUGUAACCUGUUUUUUUCUCUUUUGUGUAGGUUUACUUCAUUAGUCAUCAUUGUGAAACUAGAAGCAUGCGAAAUUGUGUAAUUGUGACCGAAGAUUCUCAAGAAGAACAACAUCACGAGAAUGCUUCACAACAACAUCAACCUUAACAAGAUGCUACUGAACAAAGUAAUGCAUAACUUACUUUUUCUAUGAGUUGAUUAAACUUUUAUGUUUAAUUUUCUUGCUGACUUUUCUCUUUUUAACUAUUUUUGAAAGAUCCUACUAGCAAGCGUGGCACUCAUGGUCAUAACAAGAUAGUUGACGUAUGAAAUUUUCCUCUCGGAUAGCGAAUUAAAGUACAGUUUAAUAGUAAAAGUCAGCCCAUGGAUGUAAAGCCUGUGUCCUAUCAUCUUGUCUUGCGAUUUUAGCAAGAAUUUGCUAUUUACUCCCUUUGAACUAUAAGACUUAGAGGAAGGUACCUCGAAUGUACAAGACGGACACCUUAAACCAUAUAAAUGUACAAUUACAUAAUAUGCAAAUACACACACUGUAAUUUUUUUGCCUCCUUUAGUUAUCUCAAUAAUUUUUGCUUAUUUAUAGGAAAAUUUUUUGUUUCCUGAGUGUUGCACUGGUUGGUUAUUCAAGUCACUAGGACAGAAAUGGCAGGAUUAUAAGGCUGAGCUAAAAGCCAAGUACUUCCACUCCAACAACGAAGAUGACUUGUUGCAAAACAAACCUCCUGAAGUUCAAAGAGAUCAAUGGGCAUUUCUUGUAGCAUAUUGGCUUUCACAUGAAGGAAAGGUAAGGUUUACAUAACAAAUUAUCAAAAUUGAUCGUGUUUGAAUUUCACAAUUUAUUGUUUCUUGGCUUUUCAUGAUUGUAGACUUUUGCUGAAUUGAAUAGUGAUCGAUAAGCCAAACAAGUUGUGUUUCACACUACAGGCUCAAAAAGCUUUGUUAUUCUUGAGGACGAAAAGGUAUUUUGUUUUGUUACUUUAUUUUUAACUUUUUUUUGUUUUCUUAUUAAACACACAAAGAAAGUUCCGGUCAUCGAGGAUGGGGAAGUAGUUCUAUACUUGAUAUAUGUCUUAUAACACUUCUGAGCUGUAGCCUAGAACUAGUUUCUAUGUCUUGGUUUUGCUGUGGUUUUGGUUGCUGUCGUCAACUAGAAGUCUGGAAUGGUUUGCUGCUUGGAAACCAUAUGAAUAAUUCUCGUUUUUGGAUGUUUAGAAACCAUAUGCUCAGUUCCCUUUAUCUAAUUGUUUGAAAUUCUUGACAAGAGUAACUAGAUUGAAAUUUUUAGUUCAUUUUCAAUACUUUAGUAUUCAUUAAGCUCCCAGUUUCUGUUUGGGUUCUGUUUUUAGAAUCUCCCAGUUUUUGUUUGGGUUCUGCAUUAGGUUCUAUUUGGGUUCUGUAUUGAGAAAGACUCUAAACCUAAUAUUUAUCUUUGUGGUAAUAGAAACAAAACAAUGGUGGGGAGCCAAACAGAAUAGAACUGUUUGUGAUGACUCGUCAACAUAAAAAUGGAAGCUUUGUGGAUGCUACUACACACAAGCUGCUGUAAGUGGUUACUUGAUUAUAAAAUUGCAUUUACUGGUUGAAUAUCCAUUGUUACCCUCACUUAUUGGUUGAAUAUUUUAUAGGAGAAGUUAAAAGAGUUGUUAUCUCAACCUUUGACCAACUUGGAGCAAUCACAAGCAACAACUUCUUCAGUGGAUGAGGAUUUUGGUGAAGUCAUGGGAAAGGAACAUCCUGGUAGUGUACGAGGCUUGGGAUUAGGCCCUACACCUGCAGAGAUUUGGGGUUUGUCUUCUCGCCACUUUCAAGCCUUAAAUGAGGCUAAAAAUCAUAGGCUACAAGCGAAGUUGGAAGCUAUGAUAGAUAAGGUUGCCAAUUUGGAAGAAAAAGCAGCUAGAGUGUCAAGGUUGGAAAAAGUUUCAAAAGUGAGCGAACUUAAGGUUAUGAUAACUCCACUUAAAAAGGUGAAUGAUAAGUUAGUUAAAUUUGCAACUGCCAUGCAAAUGAGAUUUCCACAUAUGCCAAGCAUGGACAUCAACUCAACUGUUAUACCAAUGGGUAGUAGACAGGUAACAACAUUAAGUAGUAUUAUAAAUUAGUAAAUAAUUGUUAUUUACUAAUCUAGAAGUUGUAUUAUAUUGUAGGCUUUAGAUGCAUCAAGUUCAUUGGGAUCACUACCUGUAAAUAACUAAGGAAAUAUGGAAGCCUUGCAAGAGGGGGAAAGAGUAGACCGACAAAGUCUAAUUAACUCAGUUAAGUCAGCUCGGAUUUGCAUCACACAGCGCCUGCUAUCAACCGUCGGCCUUCUCAUGCCUUCCUUUAGAAGCUUCUACAUUCCCCAUACAGUUAUGACAAAGGCCGAGUGUGAGCUUUCGGAAAGAACUUUGCAGGUCAAGACCAUAGGAAGAGGGAAGAACACGGGAGAAGACCUUCUUUAGAUGGAUUGGUAGCGCAGGUGGGUGGCCCUCUAGAAUGGAGUUCGGGCAGUGCUCUCACUUACGGGAAAUGAAGGGGGUCGCAGACUAACCACUUUGGCAGUUCACGGCGGAAAGAACCAUUCCAAAAUCAGUGGAGACUGAGAGAGCAAAUCGAGGACGAUGAGUGAUGCGAAGGAGAAAAGGCUUAUGAUGUGAUUAAGGACCUUCCAUUUAGACAAGGUCAUAUAUGAUCUUAGCGCGUAUGUUAAACCUAGGCCUACUACUCUUUCUUGGCUGAUAAUUAAGGGAAAAUAAAAUGGAGAUUGAGAUUGUUUGCUCUUAAUUAAAAAUCCUUUCCAUGCUGGAGCAUGGGGAAGUUUCAGUUUUCUUUUCCCUCUCUCUUUCAAGCGCUGCAGCUAGCUCCCAUUCCUCCUCCUGCUGAGCCAAUGAGCUCCAAUCAGGCAUGCAAAAAUUCAACCACGAGGGAUGCCGAGCAGCUCUGAUUUUCCUCCUAGUGGGGGCUACUCACUCACUGUAGUCUAAACCUCCUCUAAGCCCAAUAGGCAGAAAGUUAGUGCUUCUGCCCGACCGUUAUAGUCUUACUUCGUUCAUAAAGAGCUUAGCAAGCAUCUAAAUCUAAGACAUAACCGGUAGAGAACUAACUAGGGGAAGAAAGACAAGCAAUACAGGUGCGGAGCGGGGCCAAGAAAGUACGUAAAGGAGGUAAAGGCAUUCUUUCGCUUUCCCUGAUCUACGACCAGCCUGCUGUCUUGGUGAAGACUGUGGUAGUGGUAUCGGUUCUUUGCUUGGUUGAUUGAAUUAAAAUUUAUAUAUAACCUUGCCUUCCGAGAGUAGCCUUAGUCUUAAUCCGCCUUUAGGGAGUGAAGUGAACCGGGGGUGAUAGAAUAAGUUGUGAAAGAAUCGGUUUAGAACGUAUCCGCUGUUUUAGCCAUAUCCGCUGCUAGAGUAACCGCUCGUCCUUUCUUCCGUCAUGCUUGGAAUAUCCCUCGUCGAUUGCCUUUAUUACCGGAUUACUAUAAAGUUAUUCAAAAGGAAUUUUUCGACCAAUGUGGGCCGGUUUAAUAAAAUAAGUCAAUUGCCACUGGUCCCACUGGUCAAAGAAGAGACAAGAGGAGAAUCAAGACAAGGGGGGAUGGGUAAUUCCGGGAAUAGGAUCUAUCCCAUACCCUUCUUCGACUAUUCGACCUGCUCCUCGAAGCAAGGAAGGGAAUGAUGAUGUCAUCUCAUGCCCUGUUAGCAAUAGCAAGAAGGAAAGGAGUUGGCUUACCGCAUCUACCUUCUCAUCGCGGGAUAAGGGCUGGGGCGUUAACUAAGUACUAAAGCUGCUGGAGCGGCUGCCUUCGCCCACGAAGGAAUCGGAAUCUCGCUACUUCCCCUAACUGUCCUAGAGCAGGAGAAAGUGAAUCUACAAGCAGGGAAUAAAAAAGGAAUAGGCGCCUCUAUAGUCUUCCUUUUCUUGCCGCUUCGCUUCCAGACAUAGGAUAUAUUAGAUUAGAGGAAUGAAUGAGGUAUUGCUGACCAGGUAAGAGAGAUCUUCCUAAUUACACCAGUAAAGCCGGAGUAAGUGGAUUGGCGUUACGUUAUCAGAUCCAGACGAGCUCAGAGCCAUAGUGUCAUGAGCCAACCUUAUAUAGGGCCAUGACUGAGACUUAGGUUGCCAUGAGCCACCCAUGUAUAGGGCCAUGGCCGGGUAGAUCCCUUGUGCUAAGAAAAAUGUCCUCAUUUUAAACAUUGUAACGGUUAUUGAUAGCAUAGCUCUAAAAUCUUUAAGGCUCUUUAGGGGGGUGAGCCGGCAGCGUAGUGUUGGGCUGUCUCACCACCAAGGGCUGCCCCCCUGGCCCUGGUGACGGUGGGAAGUCCCGAUAUAUGAUUCCCGUUAAUAAUGAAACUCACCCCGAUUGAAUGUCUCGAUUGUUGCCUCGAUGUGUUUUUCCUUUUUCUCGACGCGAUUAUGCCUUCUUGUGUGUGUGCUUGAGAUUGAUCUCGAUAUGUUGUGCCUUAUUGUGAAUGCUUGUGACUAACCAUGGUUUAUGAUUAUUUGUUCAUAUAUCGAUCUAUUGAAGGCUGACUUGGUUGGGAGCGCCCAUUCAAGUGCCGCACGGUCUAUUGCUUGUUGAGAGAAAGCUUAGUCCGUGACACGUGAUAUCAGAGCAUGGUUGAGAAGUGCUAGAAAAAUGGAUGAGAUGGCCACAAGUGGUGGAUCGGAUCAUCAACAGAGAAUUGAGGAACUUGAGGCCGCGGUGGCCACAAUGAAAACUCAUAUAGUGACGAAAGACCGAGUGAGGAAGAUCGAGACAACCCAACGGGAGUUGUUCGAUACUCUCUACAAUGUGAACGAAGAAGCUAGAGAUGCCUUGAACAUUCUCCAAAAAGAGUUUGAGGAGCUCAAGGCCCAGGUGAGCAUCCUACAAAUGGCUGUGGCCAGAUAGGGUUUGAGCUCGAUGGACAGGGGACAAAGGCCCAAGGUGCGGGAGCCUCGAUGCUAUGAGGGGGCAAGGGAUGCUAAGGAACUUAAAAAUUUCUUGUUUGACAUGGAACAAUACUUUCGAGCUGUACACACAGGUUCAGAGGAAGACAAGGAGACAAUGGCGUCGAUGUACCUCGCAGGGGAUGCCAAGCUGUGGUGGCGUUUCAAGUUUGUCGAUGACGAGUGCCUGAUUAAGAUUUGGACGGAUCUGAAGCGAGUAUUGAAAAACCAAUUUUUUCCAGAGAACGUGGAGUAUAUGGCUCGAAGGAGACUUCGAGAGUUGGUGCAAAUCGGAACGGUGCGAGAGUUCGUAAGGAACUUUUCUACCCUGAUGCUGGAUAUUCGGGACAUGUUCGAAAAGGACAAGAUGUUCUAUUUUCUUAAGGGCCUCAAGCCUUGGGCAAGGACAGAACUACAAAGGCAGAAAGUGCAAGAUGUGGCCACGGCCAUGGCUGCAGCUGAACGUCUUCACGAUUACAAUGAUGGCUCUUCAAAACGGAAAAAUCUUUCAUCAACUGGCAGUAGCUUUAACUUUGUGAGUGGGGGAAAGAUGGCUAGGUUGGACCGACCCUUCAGUGGGGGAUCAGACAGGAGGUUCUUUGGUCGAGAUAGCACCCAGCCCAAGACAAGCAACGCAGGGAUUUUCAAGCCUUGGUAACCGCUAGCUUGUUUUCUUUGCAAGGGGCUUCAUCAAGUGGCUGAAUGCCCGCACCGAUGAGCCCUUAAUGCCUUAAGGACCUCAUCCCAAGAGUCUGUAAAAGUGCCAGAGAGCGUUGAAGAAGCUGAAGAGAAGCCAGCCAGGAUGGGCUCAAUAAGGUUCCUCAGUGCCCUCCGCACCCAAUUGAACACUAUAAAGAAAUAGCAAAGUAGAGGCUUGAUGUACGUGAACUUGACGAUUAAUGAGAAUGCCACCAAGGCCAUGGUGGAUACGGGUGCAACCGACACUUUCAUCACACCAGAAGAAGCAAAAAGGUGUGGUCUUUAAAUUAGUAAAGACUGUGGACGAAUGAAGACGAUCAAUUCGCCAGCCUUUGCGAUCAUUGGAAGCUCGAAAAGUGUGACAACCCGAUUGGGGCCAUGGGAAGGGAAGGUAGACUUUACAGUGUCCCCUAUGGAUGACUUUGAUGUUGUCCUCGGAUUGGACUUCAUGAUGUUGGCUCAGGUCAUCCCUAUCCCCGUCGCUAGCUGCUUGUUGUUCUUAGGGGAACACCCAUGUGUGGUGCCAGCUAACAUCUUACCAAAAAGUGGGAAGAAAAUGAUUUCAGCUUUGCAGUUCAAGAAAGGGGUAAAGAGAGGAUAACCCUCUUUUGUGGCGGUGUCGAUCUACAAAGAAGGGUCGAAAGUAGAACCAAUACCUAAUGGGGUGGAAAAAGUGUUGGAAGAAUUCGAAGAGGUGAUGCCAGAGAUGUUGCCUAAAGUUCUACCCCCUCGACGAGUAGUGGACCAUGAAAUUGAGCUCCUUCUAGGAGCGAAACCCCCUGCUAGAGUGCCCUACCGCAUGGCCCCACCAGAGUUGGCCGAACUAAGAAAGCAGUUAGAUGAGCUGCUACAAGCCGAUUUCAUUAGACCAUCAAAGGCUCCUUUCGGAGUGCCAGUGCUAUUUCAAAAGAAGCACGAUGGAAGUUUGCGAUUAUGUGUGGACUACAAGGCCCUGAACAAAGUCACCGUAAGAAACAAAUAUCCCAUUCCCCUUAUAGCAGACCUGUUUAAUCAACUGAGCAGGGCCAAGUAUUUCUCCAAAUUGAACUUGAGAUCUGGCUACCAUCAGGUCAGAAUCGUUGAGGGAGAUGAGCCAAAGACCACUUGUGUGACACGGUAUAGUGCAUUUGAAUUUCUUGUUAUGCCUUUUGGACUGACCAAUGCUCCUACCACAUUUCGUACAUUGAUGAAUCAGGUGUUCCAUGACUACCUAGACAAGUUUGUAGUCAUCUAUUUAGACGAUAUAGUGGUAUAUAGCUCCACCUUGGAAGAGCAUCAAGAGCACCUACGCCAGGUACUUCAAAGAUUACAUGACCACCAGUUAUACGUAAAAAGGGAGAAGUGUGCAUUUGCUCAGACCCAAAUCCAUUUUUUCGGUCAUAUUACCGAAUGUGGCCACAUUCAAAUGGACAUGGAAAAGGUUAGAGCCAUCAAGGAGUGGACAACACCGAAGAACGUUAGUGAACUCCGCUCAUUUUUGGGACUAGCCAACUACUAUAGAAGGUUUGUGGAAGGGUACUCUCGUAAGACCACAGCCCUCACAGAACUAUUGAAGAAGGAGCAUAAAUGGUGUUGGACGAGUGAGUGCCAAGAGGCCUUCGAGGGAUUGAAAGAUGCUAUUAUGAAGGAUCCCAUCUUAGCUCUCCCUGAUAUUGAAAAGCCCUUUGAAGUUCAGACGGAUGCAUCCGAUUUUGCUAUUGGAGGAGUGCUUUUGCAACAACAUCACCCGGUAGCAUUUGAAAGCAAGAAGCUAAGUGAAGCUGAAAGGAAAUAUACGGCCCAAGAAAAAGAACUCUUGGUGGUGGUUCACUGCUUGAGGGCUUGGCGACAUUACUUGUUGGGUUCACACUUUGUCGUGAAGACAAACAAUACGGCCGUUAGCCAUUUUCUCACCCAACCAAGGCUUAUGGCAAAACAAGCUAGGUGGCAGGAAUUUUUAACGGAAUUCAACUUUUGUUUUGAACACACCGUGGGAAAGACCAAUCAAGUGGCUGAUGCAUUGAGCAGGUGAGCAGAUCUAGCGGUCCUUAGAAGAAUUACCCCAAUGGUGGCUAGUAGAGCCACUACAGACAUUCAUAAGCUGAUUAGAGAUCACUUAGAGAAGGACCCGAAAGCUUAUGCCAUCUUGAAGCUAGUGGAUGAAGGGAAGUCCAAGUACUUCUGGCAAGAAAAUAGGGUCUUAUGGACCAAGGGACCUCGAGUGUUUGUGGCAAGAGCAGAAGGUCUGAGACAGAUGCUAAUGAGGGAAUGUCAUGACAUACCAUGGGCGGGACACCCAGGUUGGCAACGCACUUUGGUGUUAUUGAAACAAUGAUACUAUUGGCCUCACAUGCGACAAGAUGUGAUAGACUACACGAAGACUUGCCUCAUUUGCCAACAAGACAAGGUUGAAAGGAGAAAACCUGCAGGCAUGCUUGAACCACUACCAGUACCCACCAGACCGUGGGAAAGCAUUUCCCUCGAUUUUAGUUCGAGCCUACCCAAGGUUGGUGACCUUGGAGCUAUUUUGGUAGUAAUUGAUCGAUUCUCUAAGUAUGCCACAUUCAUUCCCACUCACAAGUAUUGCACUGCGAAAGACACAGCUCGACUACUGUUCAAACAUGUGGUCAAAUACUGGGACCUCCCUCAAAACAUUAUCAGCGAUCGAGAUUCGAGAUUUACGGGAUCCUUCUAGAGAGAACUUUUCAAGAUAUUGGGGUCCCAGCUCAACAUCUCCUCAAGCUAUCACCCUCAAACCGAUGGUCAGACGGAAUGGUUCAACGGAUUAUUAGAGGAAUACUUGAGGUAUUUUGUUCAAGCCAAUCAGAAAGACUGGCCUUCAUUAUUGGACGUGGCUCAACUCUGCUUUAACUCCAAUAAAAGUUUUUCCACCAACAAGAGCCCAUUCGAGGUGGUCACCGGACAAUUACCAAGGCUACCCCAUACUUCCGUGGAACAAUAUAGAGGAAAGAAUCCGAGAGCCUUCAAUCUCAGCAAAGAGUGGAAACAAAACACAGAGAUUGCGUAAGCCUACUUGGAGAAAGCAUCAAAGCGGAUGAAGAAAUGGGCAGACAAGGGUCGUAGAGCUCAACAAUUUUGAGUUGGUGAUUUGGUUCUUGUCCGACUAGUUCUUGAACAAACCAGGUUCCUAAAAAAGAGAGAUCGUAGACUGGUGCGCAAAUAUGAAGGUCCAAUAAGGGUCAUUUCCAAGGUGGGGAAUGCUUCUUACAAAAUUGACCCACCAAAGUGGAUGAAGGUGCACUUAGUAUUUCAUGUGAGCAACCUGAAACCUUUCCAUGUAAAUCCUACAGAUGCUAGCCGAAGGGAGCCAACCAGAGCCGCCAUCACCAUGAAGCCACCCUCAGAGCGUCGAGUUGAAGAGAUCUUAGCUGAUAGGGAAACCAAGAUAUCUCGAAGACUAGUUCGGGAAUACUUAGUGAAGUGGGAGGGAUUAGGACUAGAAGAAACCAGCUGGGAGAGAGAGCACGACCUCCAGAGAUUUCAAAGGAAGAUUGAAGAAUUUCAAGCUAGCACGUCGACGAGGACGUCGAUAGAAUAGGUGGGGGGAGGAUGUCAUGAGCCAACCUUGUAUAGGGCCAUGACUGGGACUUAGGUUGCCAUGAGCCACCCAUGUAUAGGGCCAUGGUCGGGUAGAUCCCUUGUGCUAGGAAAAGUGUCCCCAUUUCAAACAUUGUAACGGUUACUGGUAGCAUAGCUCUAAAAUCUCUAAGGCUCUUUAGGAGGGGUGAGCCGGCAACGUAGUGUUAGGCUGUCUCACCGGUUGCUAUGUGAGCUUAGGCCACCCACCAAGGGCUGCCCCUCUGGCCCUGGUGACGGUGGGAGGUCCCGAUGUAUGAUUCUCGUUAAUAAUGAAACUCACCCCGAUUGAAUGUCUCGAUUGUUGGCUCGAUGUGUUUUUCCUUUUUCUCGAUGCGAUUAUGCCUUCUUGUGUGUGUUCUUGAGAUUGAUCUCGAUAUGUUGUGCCUUAUUGUGAAUGCUUGUGACUAACCAUGGUUUAUGGUUAUUUAUUCAGAUAUCGAUCUAUUGAAGGUUAACUUGGUUGGGAGCGCUCAUUCAAGUGCCGCACGAUCUAUUGCUUGUUGAGAGAAAGCUUAAUCCGUGACACAUAGCCUAUGCGAGCCUUACCGGAUCUCUUGUACAUUUUUUCAGUUUACUUUACCUAUGAGAGACUUAUUAGAUAUGCAUAUUCUUACUAACUAAACAAAGGAGGGCAUAGUGAUUUACAACCUCCGGAUUUAAAGUCGUCUUUCAAGUAAAAAAGUAAUAAAGGAAAGAAUAGAAAGGAGAAUCCGCGUCUUUUUCGUUUUUUAGUACAGAAAGUUUACGGAAGGAUUAGUAGAGUAGUGUGCUUAGGUCGUGGUCUAGAGUACUUCCUUUCGCGCCUUGGUUAGCCGAAGAGAAGUGUGCAUGAAAUGGUGGAGCAAUUGACUAACAAAACUGGGUCAACAAGUUGCGUAGACUUCAGACCCACUUUGCUUUCACGAUUUUACCUUGGCAUUCUCUUUAUUUCGAAAGGAAGGCUUCAUCUUCCGCUUUGCACUGGCCCCAUUCCUAAAGUUCGUAUUCUUCGAUCAUAAAGGUGAAGAAAAGUCUAACUAAAGCAGAAAGAGGAAAAAAGGGAGCCUGUCAAUCCUAAGAAUGUGGUCUCAAUCCUUGCGUUCCGGGCAAGCUUAAGUUUUGUAACAAGCCCCCUGAUCCGCAUGUGUUAAGCAUAUAGUUUCAGUUUAGACUUCUUUCUCGAUAGAGCGGAACUAGGACUCUAAAAAGAACAGAUUGUACUACAGGCUGAGACCUCGUGAGGUGGAAUGAGAACCUACCCCACAUUUCCAUUUUAUAUAAGACAGACUGCGGGAUAGGGCAAUGGGGAGAGAUGUGAUAUCAAGGACUUCGGCAAGGAGACAUAUAGCUUAGCUUACUUAGGAGGAAAGAAUGACAAAAUUCGGAAUGGAAAAAGGGUGGAUGCAAUAGAAUCCGCUCUCAUUAGCAGGAAUUCUCUUAAAAAAAAUAAGAAGACUCGCUUUGCUUUCUGUACUAAAAAACGAAAAAGACUCUUUGAUUCGUUUUAUAUUAACUAUCUAACGGAAAAGACGGUUAAUAGGAUUCUUGUACUGAACUAAAUAUGGAACUGAAUUCCGCUAAAAGACUGUUUGACUUCUCUUCUUUGUUAGUUUAGAUCCCUCGGACUCGUUCCGGUGAGUAGAAGCUGAAUAGAAAACCCAAUGAAGAAGGAAGGGAGACAUAUCUUGCAUCUGAUCGUGGAAAGAAGAAGCGCCUUGCAAGCAUCAUAAUCAAAGAAGGAGAUAAAGAGAUAAGACCUUGACCAAUGCACUCAACCUCGGGGAACUACGCCCGGAAGCAGUACCGGUAAGAAGGGGAAUCAAAAAGUUUCAUUUUCUCGGUAUUUUUCGCAUCAAUAGGAAGUGAACAAGUCUUGGAGCUGUUGUUCGUCCGUUUCCGGUUGGGAAGGUAGCAAGGUUCGUUGUCCUCUCACUCGAUCGGAGAGGGAGGGCCAAAGACGGAGAACGGCUAGCAGCGAUAACACCAACAGCUUCAAAAUAUCGGGUGUAGGAGAAGAAGCCGAUAGGGGGGUGGAAGGUAGCGAAGAAGCUAAGCUAACACUUUUUCAAAGUACUUUCUUAUAGAAUAAGAAAUCCCCACAGGCAGCGGUGGCAUCGAUGUCAUCGUCAUCACGGUCCCGAGCCAACCCUACUAGAGGUCGAUCUCUUAGAGCGGCGAAGUUCGGCCAAUCCAUCCUAUCCUGGAUUCCGAAAAAAAGCCCAAUUGAAUGUACACUCGAGGAGGACUGAACAGAUGUGGAGGAUCCUGACAAACUUGGGGAAAGCACACCUUGAAGAGUUGACAUCUGAGAUUGAAGAUGAUGUCAACCAAGAAGGUUUAUGGCAAACUGGAAGGAGUAAGGAGGGAUAAAUGAUCUACCUUAGGUAAUGCUCUGCUUUCAGUGGGAACCGGUGGAGAUUGAGGUGAAGGUCUAUCCUCUCUCUCCCAGUGCAGUUGGUGGAAGUCCCCCUUUCCUCUUAUAGAUCUAAGAGUUUGUUUUUUCCCUCCUAAGCUUUAACUGACCAAUCUAAGAAAUUUAGAAUAGAAUCGUUGAAAUUGUUCAUAAUUGUUCUAUCUAUCUUCAAGGUUUUUCAAGUCUCUUAGGGCUCCGGGGACCGGCUUCGCGGGACCAUUUCGGUCCACACAGGAAAGGUAAGAUAGGUACCCUACCUCUCUCUGGCUAGGCUCUAUUGGGCGGAGCUUUCUCGAGAAACUAGAAACCGAUAAUGAAGUUCGAUGAAACAAGAAGAUUAUUACUUACGAUAUGAAACUUCUACUUCUUUCGAACUCUUUAUCUUCUUCUCUUACGAUAUUGAAUUUCUAGUUAGCUAUUGUAUUCAACUUCUGAUUCUAUUAUAUUACGAUAUUUCGAAUUUGAUAAUAGAAGAAAGAGAAAGCCUUUCGACUCUCGAGUUACUGACUUUUUUCUAGUGAUUCAAAAGUCAUUUCUCGAGAAAACCGGUUGGAAGAGGAACGAGCGUAAGACUUGUAGCUCUAUCUUGAGAAAGGGAGAGCGUAGUACUUGUAGCGAGUCAGAGAACUUUUGGAAUACUUGGAGCGAGAAGGUUGAGAGGAGUGGGGAUGUAGCUCGUUCCCUAUCGGUCUCACCUCUACGCCCCUUAGCCGAAACCAUGUCUUAUUUCGCUUUCUCCAAUCAGGGAACUUCCGAGGGAAGGCCCGAGAUCUUCAAUCUUCCACUGGAUUAGCUUUCUCGUUGGAUGAGCAUUUAGUCUCCCUCUAAAGGAGCUUGUUAAGCAUGGUCAUCACUACCUCCUGAGAACUUAACCAAAAGCCUCUUUUCCACGACAUGAUGGCUUCAGCGGGUGGACUUUGUAUUACCCAUCGUCUCGUAUUGCGGGCAUCUCCGAGUUCAAUGGUCUUCAUAGCGUAGAAAACUGCGCUGCCGAGAUCAUCGGUAAUUGGGACCAUAAUGGCCAUGAAGAGUUGUUCCUGGAGUGGCCAAAUAAGGAGCAAGUAAGAAGAGGCUGGCCCGGCAACAACCCCAUAUGUAGCGUCAGUCUCAUUUUAGGUAAAGAAAGCCCGUAACAGCUAAUCGUAUGAUGAAUGCAUUUCUUCUUGAGGUGAAUCGUGGUCGUGGACCCUUCCCCGCUCCCUCUUUUUCUACAAGAGUUGCAAUCGCAGCUUUCAUUUUAGUCGUACAUGCAGUCGGCACUGGAAUAUGACUACCUCUAUUGAUUGAAGACUUUUUCUUGAUUUGCGAUAGUGCCAACCCAUCGUAUAUAUCGUCAUGUUGGAUAAGCGCUUCGCUCGCAUGCGGGGCGUCAGACGAUCUCGGUACUAAACGAAAUUCAAGCGUGUGAAUGAGUCGCUUUAGGUGCUUGUACGACACCAGCGAUAGACUAAGAGUAUAUAGAUAGAAGAAAAAGCGAGGCUCGUAUUAGUUGCCUUCUCGCCCAACGGCCUAUUAUUAGAGCAAUAGCUUCGCAGUGACCCGUUGAAACCAUCCUCACGGGCGUUUAGGCUUGACGUUGUGGGGGGUCUUUUUGACCAUCAUCUAGUGGUUCAAAGAAAAUUAGAGUGGAAGAAAAAGUUGCUUUCUUUCUUCUUCUUCACAUUUCUCUGCCCCAUCUAGGAUGAGUAAGCAUCGGUGCAUUUCCCAGAAGGCUUUAGGCUAACUCAUCGAUUUUAGUUGUUGAAUGGAUCGUAAGACAUGAUGCCCUUACUUGAAAGGAAGGUAUACAAGGUUCCUUAAAAGAUCGCUUUGUAGAAAAAAAAUUGGCUUGUUUCGACUCAUCUAAGAACCAUCUACGUGCUAGACCCGCCGACCUGUGAGAAAGAAGGAAUUCUCUGUCAAAAGUCAGGAAAGACCACCGCCCUACUUAAGAGCUAGACGGUAAGAACGAUUCCAGCUUUGACUUUGAUCGCACUUACUCUAAUGAAAUCCUACCCUUGAGAACUUAGGUCAAGCCUAACCUCACUCGAGGAUGUUAUCUUAAUUACAGUCCCUUGAGAGAAGAAUAAGAAGUCGUGGUGACUCUGGGCUUGUUCUGCAUUUUUUGUCGAUUUCUUUCUUAGUGGAUCGAAUCAAUAUGACAAGCGUCCAUCCUCAUCAAUCAAACUAUCAACUAACGGCUGGAUAGAAAGAUUCUUUCUCUCUAAAGGAGGUCAGCUAGAGCGGCUUCCACCGAGAGAAAAGUCCCACAUCUGAUUCACGUGCAAAGAAGAUUGACUGAUGCAAUACUCUUCUAUAAUAGUUAUUCUAGUGCAGCUAGGAGAGCUAACUAAGACUAGGAGCGGAUUCUAUACCAGUCACAGCGGAUUCUGGGCAUCAAUGCACUAACUCCUUCGCUG
rnacentral:lncRNA from 1 species